rnacentral:rRNA from 1 species
UAGGGAAUCUUCCACAAUGGACGCAAGUCUGAUGGAGCAACGCCGCGUGAGUGAAGAAGGUCUUCGGAUCGUAAAACUCUGUUGUUAGAGAAGAACACGAGUGAGAGUAACUGUUCAUUCGAUGACAGUAUCUAACCAGCAAGUCACGGCUAACUACGCGCCA